GAGGACAUAAGGAGCAGUAGCUGGGAGUCAGCACUUCAGGCCACUGCCUCGGCCGGGACCCUAGGCGCCAGCCUUGGAACUCCGCCCCGCCCGGCUGCCCCGCUUCCCCUCCAGGAGCUUGGAGUUUCUUUUUUCUUUAAAAAGAACUUCUCGGCUGUUCGCUCACUACAGAAAAGCCGUGCGGGACUCAUCUUGGAAGGACUGCGCUGUGCUCAUUCCCUCUGCAGCGGAAUUUGAAGGAUUUUUUUUCUUUCUUUCUUUCAUAAUCCAUUCCCUGCCCUCUCCUUUUCGUCCCUCUCCUGCUCCCUCCUUCCCCCCCCCCCCGCCCCCAUCCUGCUCGGAUGCCAGAAGAAAGCUACUUACCCCACAGUUCUCUUCGCAGAUUCCCUGAUCAGGUGCAACUCUUGCCCGCAAGUCCCUCACCUCCCUCCUCUCGCAACGGACACUCUAAGUCCGGGUACCAGCGGCCGCCAACCGCAUCCCUAUCAGAGCAGCUACGGGAGAAUCCGAUACCAUCGGAAACCCAGGCCUCCCGGGAAACGGGUUUCCCUUCUUGUUUUUCUUUCACCGUUUUUCUUUAGAAAAGCUCUCAAACGCUUUGGUGGCUUUUGAUGGACCCCGGGAUACUCUCGGUCAGCGACACUCAGCAGCUUCCAGGGAAGGAGAUUUUCCCCCAGCAAGCCGGCGCGCGCGCACUCUUGCCCAGCGCGCGGCUCUCUCGGGCCCCAGGGGAAGGAGGGGGCGGCGAGAGCACCACCCACCACCCAGGCGGAGCCGGAGCCGCCGGGUCUGCAGAAGGUCUAGCCCUGGAAGGGCGGCCUGGGAAUGCAGUGCGGAUGCAGGGUAAAUGCUAGGAAAUCCUGCGCUCCGGACUGCUCGCCUAAAAGGGCUAGGGGUGAACAGGGAAGGAAAAACUGCAGCAGAUUUGUGUGCGUCUAUCAAGGCAGGAGUGGCUGGCGGAAAGCCCCAGACCUACCUCUUUUAAGGGUGCUGAAGAAGAAGAGGGCAGGGCAGAGGGAAUCCCUGGAAAGAUCUGGGGUUUGUGGAGAAGCUUGUCCGGAUACCCAAGUGUGACGUUGGGAGGCUUUGCAUAAGCGCGGAUGGACACACACAACAAACACACGCACAACCCACAGGGAAUAUUUUUGUACUUUUAAAUUGCUGAUGCUUAGAAGCUGUUUCACUGUGAGCCUCGAUCUAAUAAGCAUAGAAAGAGUGGAGAAGUGGAAAGGAAGAAGGUGGGAAAGAACCAUGUUUUUUGAUCUGCACAGUAGAUGCAGCAAACACAGCGAACAUCCAGACUGUGUGGCAUCUAAGGGUGCGGCAUAAGAGCCAAAGUAGUUACACCAGAGGGCUCCCCGGAUUCUUGAAUGGAGUCUAGGAAGUCUAGAGAUUCUCUGUACUGGGAAGUCGGGCGUCAUGAGACCCGGAGGGGAGCAGUGGGGGUGUGGGGGCUGGCGCUGAGAGAGGAAGGAAAGCAGCUAGCUGACUGCAGAAACCAGAGUGUGCGGUUCUGCAGCCUCCGGGGAUCCUAAAAAAGAACCGCUGGCAGUCUUGCCUACUCUUUAAGAAGGAGGUGUGGCCGAGGGAAUUUUUUCCCCCCUCUGAGACGACAGCCAAGGACUCCAGGUGGCCAACGCAUUAAAAAUCGAGGCUCGGAUGAAAUAAAUCCAUGCUUUUUAGGUAGAGAACUUUGAGACUCAGCAGGAAAGACAUUGAGACUUGAGAACAUUAAUAGAAUCAGAGACGGUGAGAAUUAGCCCAUUUGGGAAACAUAGAGGGGAGUGUUUGUCUCCGUGUCUUGAAAGUAGACUGCAUGAAAGGGAUUUUUUUGAGCAGAGAGAGAAGAAAGCAGUUUGCCAAAUGUGAACAGAGCCAUCGUAGGUCAGCACCACGGAUAGCGACCUACCUUCUGUGAUUCCAAGCUGGUUUACUGACAGCAGGAGAGCUUUCUCUCUGGAUGUGCAAGCAAAGUGACUGGGUUUUAUACCACAUAACCAUUCAUUUAUUAACGGAUUAUGCAAAUAUCAAGUGACUGACUUAUAUACAUCAAGCAUUGUAGUACAGUGUUGUGGUUUUAAAACUGAAAAGCACGAUGGGUGUUUAUCACAGAGCUCAGAGAUUGUGCCUUCCUGUACAUUUUGCCUUAAGACCAAUGCUAGUAAAUAAUAGUUCAUCCCUUUCUUUCCUGCCUAGACCUGCCACUGUCACUGUAAACGUUUAAUUUAUCAUUGUUUAUAAUGUAUUUAAAAAAUAAACUCAUGAGAUU
rnacentral:lncRNA from 1 species